rnacentral:rRNA from 3 species
ACGAACGCUGGCGGCGUGCUUAACACAUGCAAGUCGAACGAUGAUGCCCAGCUUGCUGGGUGGAUUAGUGGCGAACGGGUGAGUAACACGUGAGUAACCUGCCCCUGACUCUGGGAUAAGCGUUGGAAACGACGUCUAAUACUGGAUAUGACGACUGAUCGCAUGGUCUGGUCGUGGAAAGAUUUUUUGGUUGGGGAUGGACUCGCGGCCUAUCAGCUUGUUGGUGAGGUAAUGGCUCACCAAGGCGACGACGGGUAGCCG